AACUGCUUUAUACUGUGAACCUGCGAAUGGCUCAUUAAAUCAGUCAUAGUUUAUUUGAUGGUACCCUACUACAUGGAUAACUGUGGUAAUUCUAGAGCUAAUACAUGCUGAAAAAUCCCGACUUCUGGAAGGGAUGUAUUUAUUAGAUCCAAAACCAAUGGCCUUCGGGUCUCCUUGGUGAAUCAUGAUAACUGCUCGAAUCGCAUGGCCUUGCGC
rnacentral:rRNA from 1 species